rnacentral:misc_RNA from 1 species
GAGAGAGAGAGAGAGAGUAUGCUUUUACUUCCUGUUCCUGUAGAUUGAAUUGCCCAGAUAAAACAUGUCCAUGUACAUCUUUCCAGGAGUGUAUAAAUAGAGGUGUCAGAAGAGGAAUUAGGUGAAGAGAGAGAUAGAAGAUGGAGUGGAGAAAAUGUUAUCUAGAUGUGAUACUAGUACCACUUGGAUUCCUUAUUACCAUGGCCUAUCAUAUCUGGUUAUGGCAUAAGGUUCGAACGCAGCCCCUCUCCACCAUCA